GAUGAACGCUAGCGGGAGGCUUAACACAUGCAAGUCGAGCGGGAUUAGCAGCAAUGCUAUGAGAGCGGCGCACGGGUGCGAAACGCGUAUGCAACCUGCCUUAUGCAGGGGGAUAGCCCAUGGAAACGUGGAUUAAUACCCCAUAGAACUGUAAUUCCGCAUGGGAUUUCAGUUAAAACUUCGGUGGCAUAAGAUGGGCAUGCGUCUGAUUAGGUAGUUGGUAGGGUAACGGCCUACCAAGCCGGCGAUCAGUAGGGGUCCUGAGAGGGUAAUCCCCCACACUGGUACUGAGACACGGACCAGACUCCUACGGGAGGCAGCAGUGAGGAAUAUUGGUCAAUGGACGAGAGUCUGAACCAGCCAUCCCGCGUGCAGGAUGACGGCCCUAUGGGUUGUAAACUGCUUUUCUACUCCAAGAAACCUGGUUACGAGUAAUCAGUUGCCGGUAGAGUAGGAAUAAGCAUCGGCUAACUCCGUG
rnacentral:rRNA from 1 species